ACGAACGCUGGCGGCGUGCUUAACACAUGCAAGUCGAACGGAAAGGCCCUGCUUUUGUGGGGUGCUCGAGUGGCGAACGGGUGAGUAACACGUGAGUAACCUGCCCUUGACUUUGGGAUAACUUCAGGAAACUGGGGCUAAUACCGGAUAGGAGCUCCUGCUGCAUGGUGGGGGUUGGAAAGUUUCGGCGGUUGGGGAUGGACUCGCGGCUUAUCAGCUUGUUGGUGGGGUAGUGGCUUACCAAGGCUUUGACGGGUAGCCGGCCUGAGAGGGUGACCGGCCACAUUGGGACUGAGAUACGGCCAAGACUCCUACGGGAGGCAGCAGUGGGGAAUAUUGCACAAUGGGCGGAAGCCUGAUGCAGCAACGCCGCGUGCGGGAUGACGGCCUUCGGGUUGUAAACCGCUUUCGCCUGUGACGAAGCGUGAGUGACGGUAAUGAGUAAAGAAGCACCGGCUAACUACGUG
rnacentral:rRNA from 1 species